CAGAAUGUUCCCACAAGAAAGAAAUGUAAAGCCUAGAAAUGCCUAGACAAAUUACCUUCAGAGCUUAAUGUCAAUGUGGCUGCCUCAGGAGAAGAUCAGAAGGCCAUUGUGGCACAGCUGUGACUCACCUUUACCUGCUAUACAAUUUUCAUAGGUGAUUUUGAGAGCUUGGCCAAAUACCGUCAUCCAAUUUUAGCAUUUCUGAUGUUGGCCAUUUGGAUUAACGUAUUCUGAAACCUCAAGUCCAACAUCAUCAUUAUUGGUACAAAAACACUAAAACAGAGAUGAGGUAGGUUCUUCUAUUUUAAAAUGGGAGGGGAGUUCUAAAAAUCAUACCUUUGAAAAUUUUCCUUAUACAGUAAUAGUUGUGGUCAUUUAGGAAGCAUUUGAACAGCAAGUAGUAAUAUGACUACAUCCCACCCGUAACUAAAAGUUGCGCUAAGCUAUAGCAUAUUUAUUCUGCAUUCUGAUUUAGCAGCAUUGAAAUUAAGAAACCCAGAGAUGUAACUCUCAUUUAGAGCCACAAUCUGCCUCCACUUACAUCCAGAAUGGUUGUCAAUCAGAAUUGUAUGUAUGAAC
rnacentral:lncRNA from 1 species